rnacentral:rRNA from 1 species
UACGUAGGGUGCAAGCGUUGUCCGGAAUUAUUGGGCGUAAAGAGCUCGUAGGCGGUCUGUCGCGUCUGCUGUGAAAACUCAGGGCUUAACCCUGAGCUUGCAGUGGGUACGGGCAGACUAGAGUGCGGUAGGGGAGACUGGAAUUCCUGGUGUAGCGGUGAAAUGCGCAGAUAUCAGGAGGAACACCGGUGGCGAAAGGCGGGGUCUCUGGGGCCGAAACUG